rnacentral:rRNA from 1 species
GACGAACGCUGGCGGCGUGCUUAACACAUGCAAGUCGAACGGAAAGGCCCUGCUUUUGUGGGGUGCUCGAGUGGCGAACGGGUGAGUAACACGUGAGUAACCUGCCCUUGACUUUGGGAUAACUUCAGGAAACUGGGGCUAAUACCGGAUAGGAGCUCCUGCUGCAUGGUGGGGGUUGGAAAGUUUCGGCGGUUGGGGAUGGACUCGCGGCUUAUCAGCUUGUUGGUGGGGUAGUGGCUUACCAAGGCUUUGACGGGUAGCCGGCCUGAGAGGGUGACCGGCGACAUUGGGACUGAGAUACGGCCCAGACUCCUACGGGAGGCAGCAGUGGGGAAUAUUGCACAAUGGGCGGAAGCCUGAUGCAGCAACGCCGCGUGCGGGAUGACGGCCUUCGGGUUGUAAACCGCUUUCGCCUGUGACGAAGCGUGAGUGACGGUAAUGGGUAAAGAAGCACCGGCUAACUACGUA